rnacentral:RNase_P_RNA from 1 species
GAAGCCAGCCAGACCGUCGCUGCCCGCCUCGUCUAAUCGCGAGACGGGGAGAGGAAAGUCCGGGCUCCGCAGAGCAGGAUGCUGGGUAACGCCCAGCCGCUAUAAGUCGUUUGCGCGAGCGACGACGAAGGCGAGGAACAGGGCCACAGAGACGAGUCGCGCUUUUGCCGGUUCACACCGGCAUCGGCGCGGGUGAAACGCGGCAACCUCCAUCCGGAGCAACAUCAAGUAAGCGGACGAAAGAAACUUCAGGCUGCUCGCCUAGUCCGCGGGUAGGUGGCUCGAGCGCCGCGGCAACGCGGCGCCUAGACGAAUGACGGUCAUAGAGCGCGUCAAGGCGCGCACCGUAACAGAACCCGGCUUAUCGGCUGACUUCGACU